UACGAAGGGUGCAAACGUUGCUCGGAAUCAUUGGGCGUAAAGCGCACGUAGGCGGCCCAGCAAGUUGGAUGUGAAAUCCCUCGGCUCAACCGAGGACGUGCAUCCAAAACUGCUGGGCUUGAGUACUGAAGAGGAUCGCGGAAUUCCCGGUGUAGAGGUGAAAUUCGUAGAUAUCGGGAGGAACACCAGUGGCGAAGGCGACUACCUGGCCUGUUCUUGACGCUGAGGCGCGAAAGCUAGGGGAGCAAACGGG
rnacentral:rRNA from 1 species